rnacentral:rRNA from 1 species
CUAAGCACUAAAAUCCUUGGAUUAAAACUUAAAGAGCAUGGCGGCCAUAAAAAUUGUCAGGGGAACUUACCAGGUAAUAGAUAACCCACAAGGCGCUCUACUUAGCCUAAUAGUUUGUAUACCGCCGUCUUCAGGUCUCACUUAUGGUGGUACCAAAAGGCACAAAGCAAGAAGACAGGUCAUGGUGCAGCCUAUGACUAAGCCAUAAGGCGAGUUACAAUAAUAAUUUAUGUUCGAAUUAGAGAUUAAACUCUCUAUGAAGUUGGACUUGAAAGUAAUGUACUAAUCGAAAUAAGAAGUGAAUAUCCUUUUUAUGGUGC